GCUGCAUUUCCUGGGAGAAAGGAGAGGCCAGGAAAAGUGUCCCAGACCAACCAUCUCCAAAGGAAUCGCCUUCCCACCUCACUCCCCGGGAAGGGGUUUCAAGCCUUCUCAUGCCACAGGGUCUGGGCUGUUCAGGAUGGCGACUAUGGGUGUCUAACACUGCAAACAAAGCUUGAGUGAGGGACGGUAUUGUGAGGA